GCUCCGGUAGUAUAGCCCGGCCAAACCCAACAAAAGGGGGGCCAAAUAUGCCGGCCUCUCGAGCCGGUGACCCGGGUUCAAAUCCCGGCCGGAGCA
rnacentral:tRNA from 1 species